rnacentral:misc_RNA from 1 species
UUUCCGUAGGUGAACCUGCGGAAGGAUCAUUAUUGAAUAACCGAGGUGCGAGAGCUUUCGCUGACACGAAAAAUGGUGCAUGCGCGGGAACACUCACACACAUACCUCCCACCCCCAUGUGCACCACCGCGCGGGUCCCCCUUUGGCUUGUGCGGAGGGGGGCUUACGUUUUAACACAAAAUUAGUAUGCAGUAUGGAAUUUAUUUUUUGUUUUUGCGAUCACGAAAUCAAAACAACUUUCAACAAACGACCUCUCUGCUCUCGCUUCGACGAAGAACG